rnacentral:rRNA from 1 species
AACCUGGUUGAUCCUGCCAGUAGUCAUAUGCUUGUCUCAAAGAUUAAGCCAUGCGUGCCUAAGUAUAAACUGCUUUAUACUGUGAAACUGCGAAUGGCUCAUUAAAUCAGUUAUAGUUUAUUUGAUGGUACCUACUUACUCGGAUACCCGUAGUAAUUCUAGAGCUAAUACGUGCGUACAUCCCGACUUCUGGAAGGGACGUAUUUAUUAGAUAAAAGGCCGACCGGGCUUGCCCGACUCGCGGUGACUCAUGAUAACUUCACGAAUCGCAUGGCCUUGCGCCGGCGAUGUUUCAUUCGAAUUUCUGCCCUAUCAACUUUUGAUGGUAGGAUAGAGGCCUACCAUGGUGGUAACGGGUGACGGAGAAUUAGGGUUCGAUUCCGGAGAGGGAGCCUGAGAAACGGCUACCACAUCUACGGAUGGCAGCAGGCGCGCAAAUUACCCAAUGCAGACACUGUGAGGUAGUGACGAGAAAUAAUAAAGCGGGACUUCUGUUUCGCUAUU